UACGGAAGGUCCGGGCGUUAUCCGGAUUUAUUGGGUUUAAAGGGAGCACAGGCGGGUUGUUAGGCGUGACGUGAAAUGUAGCCACUCAACGGCUGCACUGCGUCGCGAACUGGCAGUCUUGAGUGAGUACGACGCUGACGGAAUUCGUGGUGUAGCGGUGAAAUGCUUAGAUAUCACGAAGAACCCCGAUUGCGAAGGCAGUCCGCGAGUCCUUUACUGACGCUAAAGCUCGAAGGUGCGGGUAUCGAAC
rnacentral:rRNA from 1 species